AUCGUUUUUAUUGAAGGUUUUCUGCACGUAAAGCGCAAGAUGGAGCGUGGACAAGUUUUUUGUUGUUUUAAUCGUCCAAGGCAUGGAGUUUUACUGAAGGUUUCCUCAGACGAGAGCGUAAGCUGGGGUCCGGACAAGCUGUUAUUCUUUUUUUUUAAACGGCC